UGGUGCCAGCAGCCGCGGUAAUUCCAGCUCCAAUAGCGUAUAUUAAAGUUGUUGCAGUUAAAAAGCUCGUAGUUGAAUUUCGGGAUCAAAUUGUCGGUCGUGCCUCGGUACGUACUGGCGUUAUUGGUUCCUCCCUUCUGAAGAACCACGAUGUCAUUAAUUUGGUGUCGCGGGGAAUCAGGACUGUUACUUUGAAAAAAUUAGAGUGUUUAAAGCAGGCUCGCGCUUGAAUACAUUAGCAUGGAAUAAUGAAAUAGGACGUUUGAUUCUAUUUUGUUGGUUUCUAGGAUCGACGUAAUGAUUAAUAGGGAUAGUUGGGGGCAUUAGUAUUCAAUUGUCAGAGGUGAAAUUCUUGGAUUUAUUGAAGACUAACUACUGCGAAAGCAUUUGCCAAGGAUGUUUUCAUUAAUCAAGAACGAAAGUUAGGGGAUCGAAGACGAUCAGAUACCGUCGUAGUCUUAACCAUAAACUAUGCCGACUAGGGA
rnacentral:rRNA from 1 species